UGGCGGACGGGUGAGUAACACGUUGGUACCUACCCCUAAGUGGGGAAUAACUGCCCGAAAGGGUGGCUAAUACCGCAUAAUCCCGCAAGGGUAAAGCAGUAAUGCGCUUAGGGAGGGGCCUGCGUCCCAUUAGCUUGUUGGUAGUGUAAUGGACUACCAAGGCGACGAUGGGUAGCUGGAUCGAGAGGUUGACCAGCCACACUGGGACUGAGAUACGGCCCAG
rnacentral:rRNA from 1 species